rnacentral:rRNA from 1 species
UGAAUACGAGACGCUAAGGCGUCGAAGUAGUGUAUGUCAUACUUCCAAGAAAAGCUUGCACUGUCAUAGAUAAAAAACGCCUGUACCAUAACCGACACAGGUGGGUAGGUAGAGUAUACUAAGGGGCGCGAGAUAACUCUCUCUAAGGAACUCGGCAAAAUAACUCCGUAACUUCGGGAGAAGGAGUGCCUUAUUCGUAAGGUUGCAAUAACAAGAUCCAAGCAACUGUUUAUCAAAAACACAGGUCUCCGCUAAGUCGUAAGACGAUGUAUGGGGGCUGACGCCUGCCCAGUGCCAGAAGGUUAAAGAAGUUGGUUAGCAAUUGCGAAGCUGAUAACUGAAGCCCUGGUGAACGGCGGCCGUAACAAUAACGGUCCUAAGGUAGCGAAAUUCCUUGUCGGGUAAGUUCCGACCCGCACGAAAGGCGUAAUGAUUUGGAUACUGUCUCGGAGAGGGGCUCGGUGAAAUAGACUUGUUUGUGAAGAUGCGGACUACCUGCACCAGGACAGAUAGACCCUAUGAAGCUUUACUGUAACUUGAAAUUGAAAUUGGACUUUAUUCGCGCAGUAUAGGUGGGAGGCGUUGAUUAUAAUCUUGUGGGAUUAUUGGAGCCAUCAGUGAGAUACCACUCUUGUAAUGUUAGAUUUCUAACUUUGAAUCAUUAUCUGGUCAAAGAACAGUUUCAGGCGGGCAGUUUGACUGGGGCGGUCGCCUCCUAAACGGUAACGGAGGCGUACAAAGGUUUCCUCUGAACGGUUAGAAAUCGUAUCUAGAGUGUAAAGGCAUAAGGAAGCUUGACUGUGAGACCUACAAGUCGAGCAGGGACGAAAGUCGGUCUUAGUGAUCUGACGGUACUGAGUGGAAAGGCCGUCACUCAACGGAUAAAAGUUACUCUAGGAUAACAGGCUGAUCUCCCCCAAGAGUUCACAUCGACGGGGAGGUUUGGCACCUCGAUGUCGGCUCAUCGCAUCCUGGGGCGGUAGUACGUCCCAAGGGUUGGGCUGUUCGCCCAUGAAAGCGGUACGCGAGCUGGGUUCAGAACGUCGUGAGACAGUUCGGUCCAUAUCCGGUGUAGGCGUUAGAAUAUUGAGAGGAGCCUUCUUUAGUACGAGAGGACCGAGAAGGACAUACCUCUGGUGUACCAGUUAUCGUGCCAACGGUAAACGCUGGGUAGCUAUGUAUGGAGUGGAUAACCGCUGAAAGCAUCUAAGUGGGAAGCCCACCUCAAGAUAAGUAUUCUCAUC